GGCAGGCCUAACACAUGCAAGUCGGACGGAAACGACAAGAACAAUCACCUCGGUGUGCGUUUUUGGGCGUCGAGUGGCGGACGGGUGAGUAACGCGUGGGAAUCUACCCUUUAGUUGGGGACAACAUAUGGAAACGUAUGCUAAUACCGAAUAUGCUCUACGGAGUAAAGGUGCCCUCUCCUUGGAAGGUAUCGCUAAAGGAUGAGCCCGCGUUAGAUUAGCUAGUUGGUAAGGUAAAGGCUUACCAAGGCGACGAUCUAUAGCUGGUUUGAGAGGAUGAUCAGCCACACUGGGACUGAGACACGGCCCAGACUCCUACGGGAGGCAGCAGUGGGGAAUAUUGCACAAUGAGGGAAACCUUGAUGCAGCCAUGCCGCGUGUGUGAAGAAGGCCCGAGGGUUGUAAAGCACUUUCAAUUGUGAGGAAGAUUAAGUAGCUAAUACCUGCUUAGUUUGACGUUAACUUUAGAAGAAGCACCGGCUAACUCUGUGCCAGCAGCCGCGGUAAUACAGAGGGUGCAAGCGUUAUUCGGAAUUACUGGGCGUAAAGCGCGCGUAGGCGGACUGUUAAGUCGGUUGUGAAAGCCCUGGGCUCAACCUAGGAACUGCAUCCGAUACUGGCAAUCUAGAGUUUAAGAGAGGGAAGUGGAAUUCCAGGUGUAGCAGUGAAAUGCGUAGAUAUCUGGAGGAACAUCAGUGGCGAAGGCGACUUCCUGGCUUAAAACUGACGCUGAGGUGCGAAAGCUUGGGUAGCGAACGGGAUUAGAUACCCCGGUAGUCCAAGCCGUAAACGAUGUCAACUAGCUGUUGGCCUUAUUAAAAAGGUUAGUAGCGUAGCUAACGCGAUAAGUUGA
rnacentral:rRNA from 1 species